GCCUAGUUAGCUUAGUUGGUAGUGCGUCUGCCUUGUAAGCGCUAGGCCGCGGGUUCGAUUCCCGCCCGAGGCC
rnacentral:tRNA from 1 species